ensembl:lncRNA
AAAAGAGUCAGGCUGGGAUUCCUCCGUAGGCUUCCUUCCCUCUCUGUUCAUAGACAUCCACCCCACCUCAGGGCUGCCUCCAAAGGAUCCCCACACACCUCUCAGCUUAUCACCUGCUGAAGUAAACCUGCAAGAGUGAGUGAGGUUCAUUCUGGCUUCCAGAUGAUGUGCUGUAACCCCAGAAGUGUGAUGGCACCUAUGUGGAAUUCACAAGCUGGCCAUAAAUUGAGCUGCACGGAUCUACUUUGCCAGGAGCUUGUAUAAAUACCAGGAGUUGCUGUGACUCAGUUGCAAGACUUGCACUUGGCUUUGUUGAACCUCAUGAGGUGCUCCUGGGUGCACUGCUCAAGCCUGUCUAG